AAGCCUACGCACGGUGAGAACACACGCACGUAGUCUUCACCCGCCCUGGCCGGACUUGGACUGGACCUUGGCUACCUGAUGCAUGAGCCCCUACUUGAGCAUCAGUCCAAAGGUAAUAACCGAGCUACAAUGAAAUCAAGGCAGGAACAAGUCCAAACCUUGAGAACACUGCAACAGUGUAGGCAAGCAAGGCUAGGUGUGGCAUCACCCACACCACCCUUGCUAAACCCACAAGACUUCAAUUCUUCCAGUGUAACAUUGAGACAAACCGAACCAUGUGUGCAAAAGAGCACAAGGUCACCUUCAUUGAGAGUAAACACCACAUACCAAUCACAUAUAGCAACGGGUUUGUGAUGUCCUGAAUGUCAGCGAUCUUAC
rnacentral:lncRNA from 1 species